rnacentral:rRNA from 1 species
GAUGAACGCUAGCGGCAGGCCUAAUACAUGCAAGUCGAGGGGCAGCGCGGUAGCAAUACUGGCGGCGACCGGCGCACGGGUGCGUAACACGUAUGCAACCUACCUUCAACUGGAGGAUAGCCCGGGGAAACUCGGAUUAAUACUCCAUAACACAGGGAUCCCGCAUGGGAAUAUUGUUAAAGCUACGGCGGUUGAAGAUGGGCAUGCGUUCGAUUAGCUAGUUGGUGUAGGUAACGGCUCACCAAGGCUACGAUCGAUAGGGGGUCUGAGAGGAUGAUCCCCCACACUGGUACUGAGAUACGGACCAGCCUCCUACGGGAGGCAGCAGUAGGGAAUAUGGUCAAUGGGCGCAAGCCUGAACCAGCCAUGCCGCGUGCAGGAAGAAGGCCCUCUGGGUUGUAAACUGCUUUUGAUAGGGAACAAAUGCCACUUGCGAGUGGAGCUGAGUGUACCUAUAGAAUAAGCACCGGCUAACUCCGUGCCAGCAGCC